GAGAGAGGAAGGACGGCUGCCGGGUCAUUUGACCUGAGGAAAGUCUCCCCACCUUCUAAACACACGAAUACCUGUAAAGGGUAUCUGGCGAGAGCCAGGGCAGUUGCUUUGCAACUCAUGUGCUUUGCACAUGCUGGCACAGAAACGAUACCGCAACAUGUCAAUGCGAUGAUGCUGAAAAGCUGAGUUCUCAUGAAAUGCGGAUGGAACGGCGAAUCCUCGUGGGUGCAAGUCGGAAGUAGGGGGCAAUGGUUGUUUAGACCAUUCCCGAAGUUUAUGUACGCGUAGCCGAAUGCCGUCAAUGCAGCUCUUUUGAGCGCAUCAUUCUGCCAUGUUGGAAUGAAUGUAUUGCAUUAACAGAAGGGAGCUUACUCUCCUCACUC
rfam:Methanolobus tindarius DSM 2278 MettiDRAFT_Contig28.1_C, whole genome shotgun sequence.